rnacentral:lncRNA from 1 species
AAAUGAGUUUCUAAAAGGACGAGUGGAUGGAGGAGGAGCUCUCUUCAUGAGAUUUCUAUCUAUUUCAACUAUUGCACAAAACAAGAAUAUAUAUGUGAGGGAUGCUCUUGUGGGAAACAAUGGGAAUGUACUUGGUCUAUCAUUUUAUCUAGAAAUUUGAAUGACUGGGACAUGGAGGAAUCCAUGAAUCUUCUCAAAUCUUUUGCUUGAGUGUCUAUUCCUGGAGGGGCAGAAGACAAACUAGUAUGGAGUCUUAGCAAGAGCGGACGUUUUUUUGUUAAAUAUUUAUAAAUGUUUUUGACUAAGAGAGGGAGAGAGUGUAAAAUUUAUUUCUAGCACGAUUUGGAAUGUAAAGGCCGCACAUAGGGUGUUUUCUAUUUUUUUUUUGCCUGGUAAGCAGUGAGUGAGAGUAGUUUCACACUAGGCAAGCUGAUUAGAAGCGAGAAAAUAUUGGUCAGCCGUGACUCUACACAAAAACAGCAAGGAGACUUGCAAGUAUAUUCUUCUAUGGUGCCUGAUUGCUCACCGGCUUUGGUCUUUGGUAUAUGGUGUUUUGGGCAUUAAUUGGGCCAUUGCUAGCAAUUUAAAGGAUGAGUUGUGGGCAUGAAAAGCUACCAAGGGCAGGCUUAUGCCCUUGGUCACCUUUGGACUCUCUGAAAGGAGAGGAAUGGAAGGGCAUUUGAAGGGAUUGAAUCUUCUUUUGAUAGAUAUUUUCUUAAACUUGUAAAUAUUUUGUAUAUUUGUACUUCCUUAGUUCUUUAUCAAUAAACUUUUACUUCUGUAAGCAUUUUGGUUAGUGAAGUUUCAAUUCUGCCUUUACAUAGUGCAAAAUGCAGAUCAAUUUUAUCUUUAUAAAAAAAUUAAAUAUUAUAGAGAGUGAAAAGAGAAAAGUACACUAAUGAAGGAUAAGAGAUUCUCUUGAAGAAAGGAAACAAAAAGGAAAGAGGAAAGAGAAAAUAAAAGUCAAUGCAGAACCACAAUCAAAUCUCUUUGUAGAUAAGCCGAGGAGAUAUCACUAUAAUCCCCAUGUACCUUAGUUUGGAGAGAUGCCGAAAAGGUCAUGCUAGCCCCUAGAAGUGUAAGUGGUAAAUACAAACCUUCCUUGGUUACCGAAUUGACCACGAGCUUUCCAUGAU